GAUGAACGCUGGCGGCGUGCCUAAUACAUGCAAGUCGAGCGAACGGACGAGAAGCUUGCUUCUCUGAUGUUAGCGGCGGACGGGUGAGUAACACGUGGAUAACCUACCUAUAAGACUGGGAUAACUUCGGGAAACCGGAGCUAAUACCGGAUGAUAUUUUGAACCGCAUGGUUCAAAAGUGAAAGACGGUCUUGCUGUCACUUAUAGAUGGAUCCGCGCUGCAUUAGCUAGUUGGUAAGGUAACGGCUUACCAAGGCAACGAUGCAUAGCCGACCUGAGAGGGUGAUGGGCCACACUGGAACUGGGACCCGGUCCAGACCCCUACGGGAGGCAGCAGUAGGGAAUCUUCCGAAAUGGGCGAAAGCCUGACGGGGCAACGCUGGGUGAGUGAUGAAGGUCUUCGGAUCGUAAAACUCUGUUAUUAGGGAAAAACAUAUGUGUAAGUAACUGUGCACCUCUUGACGGUACCUAAACAGAAAGCCACGGCUAACUGCGU
rnacentral:rRNA from 1 species